GGCUGCCAUGACAAAAUACUACAGAUGGGGUGGCUUAAACACGUCGUCUGUGAGUGGGUGUUUCUCACGAUUCUGGAGGCUGCACAUCUGAGAUCAAGACGUCAGCUGCCUUGGUUUCCUCUGAAUCUUCUCCUCGGGCUGCAGAUGGACACUGUCUUGCUGCCUCUUCCUGUGGUCGCCUCUUCCUGUGGUCGUCUCUGUGCAUGCGUGCCCCCAGGGUCUCUCUGCGUGCCCUAAUCCCUGUUCUAAUAAGGCAUCAUGCCUUUUAUCAGUUUAAGAGGUUACCUUCAAUACCAGGUUAUCGAGGAUUUUUGUCACA
rnacentral:lncRNA from 1 species